rnacentral:lncRNA from 1 species
CUUGUGGGACACUGCUACUGCACGAGGCGCGCGAUGAACACCUGUGCGCAUCUCUGCGCCACCAGCACACAGCCCAGGGAUUUCACCUCGUCCUUGAGAGACCAGCACAAAUCAACCCAAAUAAAACAUCCCGACACUGUUCACCUCUACCGGAGGGUCGUUUUCCUUCGAGACACGUGGACGAAGCCGUACACAGCAUUAGGGACAGAAGAGACGCAGCCUCUAUAGAGGGACUCAGACAGGGUGGGAGGAGAUCCCAGCAGGUAAAAAGACCCACCGCAGGUCACGACCACAAACAGCAUAUCAGCUGGCUAUUUCUGAACAGGCCAUUGUGUCUGAUUUCUGUCCACACAGACACACACACACACACACACGCGCACACACACACACACG